rnacentral:rRNA from 1 species
AUUGAACGCUGGCGGCAGGCCUAACACAUGCAAGUCGAGCGGUAGAGAGAAGCUUGCUUCUCUUGAGAGCGGCGGACGGGUGAGUAAUGCCUAGGAAUCUGCCUGGUAGUGGGGGAUAACGUUCGGAAACGGACGCUAAUACCGCAUACGUCCUACGGGAGAAAGCAGGGGACCUUCGGGCCUUGCGCUAUCAGAUGAGCCUAGGUCGGAUUAGCUAGUUGGUGAGGUAAUGGCUCACCAAGGCGACGAUCCGUAACUGGUCUGAGAGGAUGAUCAGUCACACUGGAACUGAGACACGGUCCAGACUCCUACGGGAGGCAGCAGUGGGGAAUAUUGGACAAUGGGCGAAAGCCUGAUCCAGCCAUGCCGCGUGUGUGAAGAAGGUCUUCGGAUUGUAAAGCACUUUAAGUUGGGAGGAAGGGUUGUAGAUUAAUACUCUGCAAUUUGACGUACCGACA